rnacentral:rRNA from 1 species
GAUGAACGCUGGCGGCGUGCCUAACACAUGCAAGUCGAGCGAAGCACUUACUUUAGAUUUCUUCGGAAUGACGAAGUUUGUGACUGAGCGGCGGACGGGUGAGUAACGCGUGGGCAACCUGCCCUGUACAGGGGGAUAACAGUUAGAAAUGACUGCUAAUACCGCAUAAGCCCACAGCUUCGCAUGAAGCAGUGGGAAAAACUCCGGUGGUACAGGAUGGGCCCGCGUCUGAUUAGCUAGUUGGUAAGGUAACGGCUUACCAAGGCGACGAUCAGUAGCCGACCUGAGAGGGUGACCGGCCACAUUGGGACUGAGACACGGCCCAAACUCCUACGGGAAGCAGCAGUGGGGAAUAUUGCACAAUGGGGGAAACCCUGAUGCAGCGACGCCGCGUGAGCGAUGAAGUAUUUCGGCAUGUAAAGCUCUAUCAGCAGGGAAGAAAGUGACGGUACCUGACGAAGAAGCCCCGGCUAACUACGUG